GGCAUGGUGGCUUAGUGGUUAGCACAUUUGCCUCGCACCUCCAAAGAUUGGGGGGUUCAAAUCCUGCCUCUGCCC